rnacentral:rRNA from 1 species
UACGGAGGAUGCGAGCGUUAUCCGGAUUUAUUGGGUUUAAAGGGUGCGUAGGCGGCUUUUUAAGUCAGCGGUGAAAUUUUGCAGCUUAACUGUAACAGUGCCGUUGAUACUGGGGAGCUAGGAUUUGGUUGCUGUGGGUGGAAUGUGUGGUGUAGCGGUGAAAUGCAUAGAUAUUGCACGGAACACCAAUUGCGAAGGCAGCUUACUGGACCAUUACUGACGCUCAGGCACGAAAGCGUGGGGAUCAAAUAGGAUUAGAUACCCCGGUA